rnacentral:misc_RNA from 1 species
GCUACUUGGAAAUCAUUGAACUUAAAAGUGGAAAGUGUUCAGACUUUGCAUCAGGAAGCAGUCACUGCCCAACAUGAUCACUUAAUUACCGAAAUAGAAACCUCAGAAGGCCCAUUAGCUACCACAUUAAGAGCUGUUUAUGAUGGAGAUGAGUUGGAGAAGUUUCAGCAGAGGCUGGCGAGUCGGAUCAAGAGCCAUGACAAAGAGAUUGAGCGUAUGUGUAACUACCACUACCAGGGCUUCAUCGACUCCAUCCGUGAACUGCAGCAAGUGAGCGGGGAUGCUGCUGCACUUAAGGAUGAAAUCAGUGGUGUUGAUUCUGAACUGCAGGGAUCCUGUAGUCCUUUGCUGGCCAAAGGAGAUCAGCUUGUUAAGAGUCGAAAGAUUCAGAAAAAUAUCACUGCUGCAAUUGAGAAUUUGUCACUGUGUCUACCAGUUUUGGAGAUGUAUGGCAAACUGCAAGAACAGAUGAAAAGUAAAAGAUAUUAUCCUGCCUUGAAGACACUUGAACAGUUGGAGCACACCUACCUGCCGAGGGUUAUGAGUCACUGGUUCUCGGAGACCAUGUGCGAAGCUAUCCCCAAGUUGAGGGAGCAGAUUAAAGAAGCUUCCAUGACUGAACUGAAGGACUUUCUGGAAAGUAUUCGCAAGCACUCUACUAAGAUUGGAGAGCUGGCCAUGAAACAUGCAGCAGAACAGAACAACCUAGACCCAGCGAUUGUUGUGCAGAAAACGAAGAAGCGGAGAGCCCCUCCUCCACCAAAUCCAUUUACUGGAGAGGUGGAGAGAGUCCCUGAAAUUUUUAGAGAUGAUUCGUUCGAGGGCGAAGAGGAAUUGAGUGCUCAAGACAUGGUAGAUUUUUCUCCUGUGUACCGGUGUUUGCACAUAUAUUCUGUUUUGGGUGAUAAAGAAAAAUUUGAAAGUUACUAUCGUCAACAGCGGUGGAAGCAAGCACGGUUAUCUCUGCAACCUCCACCAGGAAUGCAUGAAAGUGCAGAUGCCUACAGACGUUAUUUUCAUGAAAUCAUAGGGUUCUUUGUUGUAGAAGAUCACAUACUUCACACAUCCCAAGGUCUGGUAACUCGGGCCUACAUGGAUGAGCUGUGGGAGAAAGCUGUAGAGAAAAUAGUUGCAACGUUACGUUCCACUGCUACAAAACUUGCCAACCAAACACCUUGGAAUGCACAGAAAUCCUGUAAAGUAGCCAGCCUGAUGUUAGAGAUUAAAAAGUUGAUAGUGCUGUUUUGCCAUACGCUGAAGGGCUAUGGCUUCAGUGUAGGAAGACUGUUAGAGCUUCUCUUAGAAAUGAGGGACAGAUACAGUGAGAUUCUUUCUGAGCAGUGGGUGGAUAUUUUUAACAACAUCUUUCAUAAAGACAACUACACGCCCAUCUACUGUGAGUCAGAAGCAGAGUUUGUUGACAUAACAUCACAGAUGCCUUGUCCCGACAAAGCCCUUUACCAGGCUCCAUUUCCACGCCAUUUUCCAUAUUCUCGGUUUGUGCCCAGUAUUUAUAAUGAAGUCAAAGAAUACAUCAAUGCCUGUUUGAAAUUCUCAGCAGAUCUCCACUUGAGUCACACAGAAAUCGAUGACAUGAUUCGGAAAUCAGCCAACCAACUGCUGACGACCACUCUUGGUCAGUGCUUAUCUAAGCUGAUUAAGAAACCCAAUCUUAGCUUAAUACAGUUAAUACAAAUUUCUAUCAACAUGAAUUACCUGGAAAAGUCUUGUGUGAGUUUGGAAAAAUAUAUUUCCAGUAUUACGGGUGCUGAAAAAGAUAGUGUUCAUGUUGCCAGACUGCAUGGAACAUCAAUGUUUAAGGAUGCUAGAGAUGAUGCAGAACAGCAUAUUUACCAAUCCCUAAACAAAAAAAUAGAUGAAUUCCUUGAUUUAGCUAACUAUGACUGGAUGCUAAUGGAGUCGCACGGUCACCCCAGUGGCUACAUCAUGGAUCUGAUUGCCUUUCUCCAAAGUACCUUCAUGUCUUUCACAAACCUCCCGGAGAAGGUUGCCAGAACAGCAUGCAUGUCAGCUUGUCAGCAUAUUGCAUCGGUUAUGAUGACUUUCCUGCAGGACAACGAAGUUCGUCAAAUUACAAUGGCCUCUUUGCAGCAAUUUAACCUUGACCUUAUUCAGUGUGAGCAAUUUACUGCAUCAGAAACAGUGCCUGGAUCCAAUGAUGGGACGCUCGAGCUGGCAUUUGCUGAUUUGAGACAGGUCAGAAAUUUAUGGAUGUAACAGUUGUCAAACUGAAAUCUUGAGUAUGUUUUUAAUAUUCAAACAAUUAAAAUAUAUAAUCCAAAAAUUGAUUAGCUAUGGUUGGCUUCUAAUUCAUAAUAUUUUACUCUUCUUUUUUUUUUUGCUUUUUUUUUUGUUGUUAUGAAGAUGCACAUUAUAACCAUUAAUAAUAAAUGGUUUGAGAGGUUUUGUGUUUUGCUUCAAACUUUGUUAAAUUGCUAAUUGUUUAUGUUUUUCAUUACAGUUGAUAGAUCUGUUCAUCAACUGGGAUUGGUCUGUGUACUUGGCAGACUAUGGGAAACAGCAGUCAAAGUACCUGAGAGUUCCCCGGCAUUCGGCUAUCAGUAUACUUGAGAAAUUAAACAAUGGUGAUAAGAAGAAAAACAAUCU